UACGUAGGGUGCAAGCGUUAAUCGGAAUUACUGGGCGUAAAGCGCGCGUAGGCGGCUUUGUAAGUUAGAGGUGAAAGCCCGGAGCUCAACUCCGGAAUUGCCUUUAAGACUGCAUCGCUAGAAUCAUGGAGAGGUUAGUGGAAUUCCGAGUGUAGAGGUGAAAUUCGUAGAUAUUCGGAAGAACACCAGUGGCGAAGGCGACUAACUGGACAUGUAUUGACGCUGAGGUGCGAAAGCGUGGGGAGCAAACAGG
rnacentral:rRNA from 1 species